rnacentral:tRNA from 1 species
GCACUAGUAGCCCAACGGAUUAGAGCAUCUGACUACGGAUCAGAAGGUUACAGGUUCGAAUCCUGCCUAGUGCA